rnacentral:rRNA from 1 species
GACGAACGCUGGCGGCGUGCUUAACACAUGCAAGUCGAGCGGAAAGGCCCUUCGGGGUACUCGAGCGGCGAACGGGUGAGUAACACGUGAGUAAUCUGCCCUUGGCUUUGGGAUAACUACCGGAAACGGUGGCUAAUACUGGAUACGACAACCGUCUGCAUGGGCUGGUUGUGGAAAGUUUUUUCGGCCAGGGAUGUGCUCGCGGCCUCUCAGCUUGUUGGUGGGGUAAUGGCCUACCAAGGCUUCGACGGGUAGCCGGCCUGAGAGGGUGACCGGCCACACUGGGACUGAGACACGGCCCAGACGCCUACGGGAGGCAGCAGUGGGGAAUAUUGGACAAUGGGCGGAAGCCUGAUCCAGCAACGCCGCGUGAGGGAUGACGGCCUUCGGGUUGUAAACCUCUUUCAGUACCGACGAAGCGCCGAUGAUGGUGGUGACGGUAGGUACAGAAGAAGCACCGGCCAACUACGUG